GUAAUAAAGUCUUUAGAUAUAUCUCUUAACUAUUUUCUUCAUGUAUUUCUAUGCCUACUUUUGUAUAUAUACAUAUAUAUAUCGAUUUUUGUAGGAUACAAGCUGGCCUUCAACUACCUUAAAGCCAAACGAUAUACCGAAGCCAUUGAUAUUUGUAAUUUGGUACUAGCUUCUCAUCCAAAUUAUCCAAAAAUACAGAAAGAAAUCCUUACUAAAGCAAGAUCUAACUGGCGGAUUUAGAAACUUAGCUAUCAUCUUUGUAAAAUUAUCUAGUCUGGAAAUGUUCAUUUCUUCUUAAAAAGUGUUUGUCAAUAAAUCUAGUGUAACAUAUUUUAUACACAAUCUGGUCA